UAUGGCUAUAUCACCCUGAACGCACCUGAUCUUGCCUGAUCUCAGAAUCUAUGCAGGGUUGGACCUGGUUAGUACUUGGAUGGGAGAAAACCAUCCAAUUCCACAA
rnacentral:rRNA from 1 species